AUGUUCCCUUUGGUUUAUCGCCUUAUUGAGUUUGGGUUGCUUCUAUCGGUGGCAACGACAUCGGUUGAAAGGACCUUCUCACCAAUGAAGAUCAUCAAGACCGAUUUGCACGGCAAGAUGCCCAAUGGUUGGGUUGAUAACUUAAUGGUGUGCUAAAUCGAGAGAGAGAUAUUUAAAGGACUUGAUCUUGCUGAAAUUAAGAAAUAAUUUCAACAUGAAGGUAGAAGAAUGCCAUUGCCACAUUCUAUUUAA
rnacentral:rRNA from 1 species